AGCCUUGAGAUCGUCAUUUAAGGUUAGACCUGCCCAGUGUGUGAGCAUAAAUGGCCGCGGUACUUUGACCGUGCUAAGGUAGCGUAAUUAGUUGGUUUUUAAAUGGAGCCAGGUAUGAAUGGAGUUACGGGGUUUUUCUGUCUCCCGGCUACUUUAUUUAAAUUACUAUAUGGGUGAAAAAGCCCAUAAACAGAAAAAGGACGAGAAGACCCUUAGAGUUUUUCUCGCAAGCCGUUUAGUUGGGGCAACAGAGGAGCAAAUCUCCACAAAUCGAUUAUUUUAGAUCUGGAUAAACUACCUUAGGGAUAACAGCAUAAUUUUAAAAUUAAGUUUGUGACCUCGAUGUUGGACUAGGAAACUGGAAGGCUAGCCGCUUUCCAGGAAAGUUCUGUUCGAACUAAUAUUCCU
rnacentral:rRNA from 1 species